rnacentral:rRNA from 1 species
GAGAAAGUUAUUAAGAGUGCAUGAUGGAUGCCUUGGUGCCAGAAGGCUAUGAAGGACGUGAUAAGCUGCGAUAAGCUACGGUGAGCGGCAAAUACGCUUCGACCCGUAGAUUUCCGAAUGGGGUAACCCUUCCCAAGUCAUGUUGGGAAACUGCCACUUGAAUCUAUAGAGUGGUUUGAGCAAUACCCGGUGAAGUGAAACAUCUCAGUAACCGGAGGAAGAGAAAGCGAAUGCGAUUCCGUAAGUAGUGGCGAGCGAAAGCGGAACAGUCCAAACCGGAUAGCUAUGCUCUCCGGGGUAGUAGGAUCCCAAAAAGAGUAGUUUGGACGUUAGGUAAAGCGCGUGGAAAAGCGCCCCGUAGAGGGUGAGAGGCCCGUGACCGAAAACUGAAGGACAUUCUGGGAAUUCCUGAGUAAUGCGAUGCACGUGAAACUUCGCAUGAAGCCACGCCGACCACGGCGUAAGACUAAAUACUAGCUGGCGACCGAUAGUGAACUAGUACCGUGAGGGAAAGGUGAAAAAGUACCGCUGUGAGCGGAGUGAAAGAGUACCUGAAAUCGUGCACUUACAAGGUGUCAAAGUCUCAUCAAGAGAUGAUGGCGUGCCUUUUGCUUAAUGAGUCUGCGAGUUAGUAUCUGUGGCAAGUUUAAGCCCCUCUGGGGUGUAGGCGAAGCGAAAGCGAGUCUGAAAUGGGCGAUUUGAGCCGCAGGUGCUAGACCCGAAGCGGAGGUGAUCUACCCAUGGCCAGGAUGAAGCCUCGGUAAUACGAGGUGGAAGACCGAACUCGUGGACGUUGAAAAGUCCUGGGAUGAGCUGUGGGUAGGAGCGAAAGACUAAUCAAACCCCGUGAUAGCUGGUUCUCCCCGAAAUCUAUUGAGGUAGAGCCUCGUGUGCUGACCCGCAGAGGUAGAGCACUGGAUGAACUAGGGCCCAUACCAGGGUACCGAAUUCAAUCAAACUCCGAAUGCUGCGGGGUGGAACGCGGGAGGCAGUCCAUGAGGGAUAAGCUUCAUGGUCGAGAGGGAAACAACCCAGAUCAGCAGCUAAGGUGCCUAAAUCGUGCUUAGUGGAAAGGAAGUGAGGUUGCUUAGACACUGAGGAUGUUGGCUUAGAGGCAGCCAUCAUUUAAACAGUGCGUAAUAGCUGACUCAGCGAGUGAUCUUGCGCCGAAAAUGAUUGGCGAUAAGCGCGAUACCGAAGCUCUGGAUUUCUCAGGGAGGCCGGAGGGCGUAGACGAUGGAGAGCAGGUUAAUAUUCCUGCACCAGUUUGGUCAAAGCGCAGUGGGGACGUAUGAUGAGAGUGUGGCCGCCGAUUGAAAGUGGCGGUCCCCCUUAAAGGGGGGGACGUGGAGGCUUCGGCCUAAGCGGAUUGCACUAACAAAAUACCAAGAAAAGCUGCUGUGCGUUCCCUAGCUGUCCGUACCGCAAACCGACACAGGUGGGUGGGCAUAAGUGUGCCAAGGCGCGUGAGUGAAACCUCGUUAAGGAACUCGGCAAUCUAGCCCCGUAACUUCGGAAGAAGGGGUGCCCCCCCUAGGGGGGGGUCGCAGUGAAUGGGGUCAACCGACUGUUUAACUAAAACACAGCACUCUGCUAAAUCGUAAGAUGAUGUAUAGGGUGUGACACGUGACCAAUGCCGAAAGAUUACGGUAAGAGGUUAGCCCCCAAAGGGCGAAGCUUCGAUCCUAAGUCCCGGUGAAUGUGUCAGUUUGACUGGGGCGGUCUCCUCCCAAAGAGUAACGGAGGAGUACGAAGGUUGGCUCAGCUUGGUUGUCAAUCAAGCGACGAGUAUAUGGAUAUAAGCCAGCUUAACUGUGAGACCUACAAGUCGAGCAGAUGCGAAAGCAGGUCCAAGUGAUCCGGUGGUCGAAUGUGGAAUUGCCAUCGCUCAACGGACAAAAGGUACGCUAGGGAUAACAGGCUGAUCCUGCCCAAGAGCUCAUAUCGACGGCAGGGUUUGGCACCUCGAUGUCGGCUCAUCACAUCCUGGGGCUGGAGAAGGUCCCAAGGGUCCGGCUGUUCGCCGGUUAAAGUGGUACGCGAGCUGGGUUCAGAACGUCGUGAGACAGUUCGGUCCUUAUCCACUGUGGGCGCAGGAGAAUUGAGGGAUUCAGUCCCUAGUACGAGAGGACCGGGAUUGACAAACCUCUGGUGAGCCAGUUGUUCCGUCAGGGGCACCGCUGGGUAGCUAAGUUUGGAAAGGAUAAGCGCUGAAAGCAUCUAAGCGCCAAGCCCUUCCCAAGAUGAGUUCUCCCUUAAGAGUCGUGGAAGACUACCACGUUGAUAGGUUGCAGGUGUAAGCAUAGCAAUAUGUUCAGCUCAGCAAUACUAAUAACUCGUUUGACUUUCCUAG